rnacentral:SRP_RNA from 1 species
GCCAGGCGCGGUGGCACGUCCCUGUAGUCCCAGCUACUCCAGAGGCUGGGGCUGGAGGAUCGCUUGAGCCCAGGAGUUCUGGGCUGUAGUGCGCUAUGUCGAUUGGGUGUCCGUACUAAGUUCAGCAUCAAUAUGGUGACCUCCCAGGAGCGGGGGACCACCAGGUUGCCUAAGGAGGGGUGAACCGGCCCAGGUCAGAAACAGAGCAGGUCAAAACUCCCAUGCUGAUCAGUAGUGGGAUCGCGUCUGUGAAUAGCCACUGUACUCCAGCCUGGGCAACAUAGCGAGACCUCGUCUCU